rnacentral:lncRNA from 1 species
UUGGCCCAGGACAGUGGGCAAUGAGAGUCGGAGCCAUCAGACCCAAGAGCUCUCCCCAGAGCAGCUCUCCAGCACAGAUUAGAAAGCAUUCCCUAAAGAUGGCGCUGCACUUGCGCUUUCAGAAACUGCUGAAUUUGUCUAUGUACUCUAGACACUCCAGGGCUUAUUCUCAAACGUGUUUCAUGGAAAUCAUAUUUUAAAGGCCUGUAAUACCAGCUUCACUUAAAGUGACGAUUCUUCUUUCUUGCUUCAGCUGCUUACCGUGACUACCACCAAGUUGCUAGGUGAUGGGGUCAAGCCAGCAAUUUCUCCAUUCCUUUGCAGCGUGCUGUCACUGAUGGGAAGAUGUGUGCCAAGGGGCUGGCAUCUAGCCAGGAUGUGCCUGGGUGCACCUGCGAUAGUGGCGGAGUCAGGUUGCACAAGAAUUCAGAACAUGGACACUGGAAUUUCCCAAUGAGAAUUUCCACAGGAGAGAGAAAAUUCCAUUCCUUCAGUUCUGAAACAGAUUUGUCAUUUGCAGCUGUAUACGAAUAUUUAUGUUACUUCCUACUGCUCAUACCCAGUCUGUGAAUCAGAUAUAGUCCCUUCAUUAACUAUAACUUACCUAGUUAUUUAUUCCUUUCAAUGUGACAAUCUCUCUUUAGUCUGUCUUUGCACCAGUUAAUACUCGUAUACACAUUGCCAAGCUGUCUUUUUACCUGGCUUCUUCCAUCUUCUAACUGUUAAAGCACAAAGUUUAUGUGAAUCUCUUCCAACUUUUCUCAUCAUUUACCUCUUCAAAACACUUUUUAUCAACAAUCCCAGCCUUGUUUCAAGAGGCUUUUCCCAAAAACACCUAGGUAAACUCCUCAGAUGAAGACGAAUAUUUUCUCCUGUUGCAUCCCCAGUUAUUAGAUCUUCCCUAAUCCUUUUGCAUCCUUGUCUGCAGUAGCUCUUCUCCAACCGCAAUACCUAUUUUCCAAAGAAACCUUGUGAACAGCAGCUAAGCCACAGACCUUGUAAAUUCCAAACAAACCCUGGAGCCACAAGCAAACAUAUAUGGCCGGCUUUCACCUCACUACAGGGAGUUACAUGAAAUCUUCUCUGUGGCUUCGCUUCCUAAAUCUUUUGCCAUUACUGUUUCAGUUUUCUUCCCUGUGCUUUCUGUUUUCCUGAAUGGUAGUAAUACAAAGUGAUAAAUGAGCCUUUAUGAGCCUACUUGUGAAAUGAGUAUUUUCAUUCAUUCAACAGUUAUUUUGUUAUUGCUUUUCUUAGAUAACUUUGUUUAUUUGGUUUACUUGGAUUUAGCAGUUUAAUAUUUUUUUAAUAACACCUUGUUAUGUAGGAUAGCAGCAUUUAAGGAUCUUGUACAAUAACUGAAGUUAUCCUUCUUGCAAGGUCAACAAGGCUAUUUUAUUUGAAGGCUAUUUUAACCCAAAUGUUUUGGGCUAAAAAGCUCAAUUUUAUGUUGCACAAGAACCUGCCUGAUAGUUCCAGGAAAAUGCACAGUCUGUGUUAGAUGAUGUUAAUUCAGAUGUUUAAAGAUAUAAAUCAAAUUGUUUCAGGGUGAUCUAGAGAGUAAUCUUGCAAGGAAAGUUAGCAUUCCUCGUUGUGGCACCCUGACACACAAAACUCACACAAAUAAAGAACAAGAGAACAAGAACA